UACAGAGGUCCCAAGCGUUGUUCGGAUUCAUUGGGCGUAAAGGGUGCGUAGGCGGCGCGGUAAGUCGGGUGUGAAAUCUCGGAGCUUAACUCCGAAACUGCAUUCGAUACUGCCGUGCUUGAGGACUGGAGAGGAGACUGGAAUUUACGGUGUAGCGGUGAAAUGCGUAGAUAUCGAGAGGAACACCUGCGGCGAAGGCGGGUUGCUGGGCUGAUACUGACGCUGAGGCGCGAAAGCUAGGGGAGCGAACGGG
rnacentral:rRNA from 1 species